CCCUUAGAUGUUCUGGGCCGCACGCGCGCUACACUGAUACGAUCAGCGAGUUGCGACCUGGGCCGAGAGGCCUGGGUAAUCUUGUGAAAUCGUAUCGUGUUGGGGCUUGACGAUUGCAAUUUUUCGUCACAAACGAGGAAUUCCUAGUAAGCGCAAGUCAUCAGCUUGCAUUGAUUACGUCCCUGCCCUUUGUACACACCGCCCGUCGCUCCUACCGAUUGAAUGUUCCGGUGAACACUCCGGAGUCAUGGCUUUGUGCUUGGGGUGACCCAUCCUGGCUAAUGGUGAAGUUGUGUGAACCUUAACAUUUAGAGGAAGGAGAAGUCGUAACA
rnacentral:rRNA from 1 species